rnacentral:other from 1 species
UCGCCUCUGCGGUGUUCGUGAUGUGUCGCGCUCUAUAUUGGCGAACCUACACUAACCUGCUCGGGAGCCUUUAUUUUAAUGCUCGAGUCGCUCGCAAGCCCAUCCCCGGCGCUCGUCGUCGGGACUGUAGUGGGAUCCGAAACACUCGGGCGAGGCGCCCUUCUCAAUUAGCGGGUUCCCAACUGGCGACGCACACGGCACAGGCGGAGGCGUU